rnacentral:rRNA from 1 species
UACAGAGGGGGCAAGCGUUAUUCGGAAUUAUUGGGCGUAAAGGGCGCGUAGGCGGCCUGGCAAGUGGAAGGUGAAAUCCCUCGGCUUAACCGAGGAACUGCCUCCCAAACUGCUUGGCUUGAGACCAGGAGAGGUGAGUGGAAUUCCCAGUGUAGCGGUGAAAUGCGUAGAUAUUGGGAGGAACACCAGUGGCGAAGGCGGCUCUCUGGGACGGUACUGACGCUGAGACGCGAAAGCGUGGGGAGCGAACAGG